rnacentral:misc_RNA from 1 species
UCUUGGAAUAGGCAUUCUCUGGCUUCGCAAUCUCCUUCAUGGAGUUAACAGAGGAGGCAUCGGCCAGACUCGUGAAAGACUUUGAUUUUCCACUAUAGAACUUUGAGAUGCCUUUUCUGACAGGCAAAACCUCCUCCAAGGAGUCCAUCAUAUCCAGUGGCCCUUUAUAGGAGCUCUGAACCUCAUCAUUCUCGCCGCUAUCCUCACCGUCGGAGGAUCUAGCGGACUGAUCACUAUUCCUCCCGAUCGAAGAAGACGAAGAAGUAGAAGCGGAGCUGCAAGUAUUAG